rnacentral:rRNA from 1 species
CGAGCGGUAAGGCCCUUCGGGGUACACGAGCGGCGAACGGGUGAGUAACACGUGGGUGAUCUGCCUUGCACUCUGGGAUAAGCCUGGGAAACUGGGUCUAAUACCGGAUAUGACCUUCGGCUUCCUGGUCGAUGGUGGAAAGAUUUAUCGGUGCAAGAUGAGCCCGCGGCCUAUCAGCUUGUUGGUGGGGUAAUGGCCUACCAAGGCGACGACGGGUAGCCGGCCUGAGAGGGCGACCGGCCACACUGGGACUGAGACACGGCCCAGACUCCUACGGGAGGCAGCAGUGGGGAAUAUUGCACAAUGGGCGGAAGCCUGAUGCAGCGACGCCGCGUGAGGGAUGACGGCCUUCGGGUUGUAAACCUCUUUCGACUCCGACGAAGCGAAAGUGACGGUAGGAGUAUAAGAAGCACCGGCCAACUACGUGCCAGCAGCCGCGGUAAUACGUAGGGUGCGAGCGUUGUCCGGAAUUACUGGGCGUAAAGAGCUUGUAGGCGGCUUGUCGCGUCGAUCGUGAAAACUCGGGGCUCAACCCCGAGCUUGCGGUCGAUACGGGCAGGCUUGAGUACUUCAGGGGAGACUGGAAUUCCUGGUGUAGCGGUGAAAUGCGCAGAUAUCAGGAGGAACACCGGUGGCGAAGGCGGGUCUCUGGGAAGUAACUGACGCUGAGAAGCGAAAGCGUGGGUAGCGAACAGGAUUAGAUACCCUGGUAGUCCACGCCGUAAACGGUGGGUACUAGGUGUGGGUUUCCUUCCACGGGAUCCGUGCCGUAGCUAACGCAUUAAGU